AUUGAACGCUGGCGGCAGGCCUAACACAUGCAAGUCGAACGGUAACAGGAAGCAGCUUGCUGCUUCGCUGACGAGUGGCGGACGGGUGAGUCAUGUCUGGGAAGCUGCUUGAUGGAGGGGGUUAACUACUGGAAACGGUAGCUAAUACCGCAUAUUGUCGCAAGACCAAAGAGGGGGACCUUCGGGCCUCUUGCCUUCGGAUGUGCCCAGAUGGGAUUAGCUUGUUGGUGGGGUAACGGCUCACCAAGGCGACGAUCCCUAGCUGGUCUGAGAGGAUGAUCGGCCACACUGGAACUGAGACACGGUCCAGACUCCUACGGGAGGCAGCAGUAGGGAAUAUUGCACAAUGGGCGCAAGCCUGAUGCAGCCAUGCCGCGUGUAUGAAGAAGGCCUUCGGGUUGUAAAGUACUUUCAGCGGGGAGGAAGGGAGUAAAGUUAAUACCUGUGCUCAUUGACGUUACCCGCAGAAGAAGCACCGGCUAACUCCGUG
rnacentral:rRNA from 1 species